GAUGAAGAACGUAGUGAAAUGCGAUAAGUAAUGUGAAUUGUAGAAUUCAGUGAAUCAUCGAAUCUUUGAACGCACAUUGCGCCCGCCAGUAUUCUGGCGGGCAUGCCUGUCUGAGCGUCAUUUCAACCCUCAGCCCCCGCUCGCGGGGCGCUGGCGUUGGGGAUCGGCCGUCCUCGCGGCGGCCGGCCCCGAAACACAGUGGCGGUCUCUCGCGGACUCCCCUGCGUAGUAGCACUACCUCGCAGAAGGGACGAGCGGGCUGACCACGCCGUAAAACCCCCCACUUCUCCAGGUUGACCUCAGAUCAGGUAGGAAUACCCGCUGAACUUAAGCAUAUCAAUAAGCGGAGGA
rnacentral:misc_RNA from 1 species